CAGUCGCCGCGGGAACACGUAGGUGGCAAGCGUUGUCCGGAAUUAUUGGGCGUAAAGCGCGCGCAGGUGGUUUAAUAAGUCUGAUGUGAAAGCCCACGGCUCAACCGUGGAGGGUCAUUGGAAACUGUUAAACUUGAGUGCAGGAGAGAAAAGUGGAAUUCCUAGUGUAGCGGUGAAAUGCGUAGAGAUUAGGAGGAACACCAGUGGCGAAGGCGGCUUUUUGGCCUGUAACUGACACUGAGGCGCGAAAGCGUGGGGAGCAAACAGGAUUAGAUACCCGAGUAGUCCCUGUCUCUUAUAC
rnacentral:rRNA from 1 species